rnacentral:tRNA from 1 species
GGGGUUGUGGCUCAGUGGUAGAGUGCUUGCCUAGCAGGCAUGAGGCACUGGGUUCGAUUCUUAACACCG